AUCCAACUGACGAGUCCCAAAUAGGACGAAGUGACGCGCGUCAAACUGGAU
rfam:Schistosoma mansoni strain Puerto Rico chromosome 1, complete genome